UACGUACGAGGCAAGCGUUAUCCGGAAUUACUGGGCGUAAAGCGCGCGCAGGCGGACGUUUAAGUAGGGCGUGAAAUCUCCCGGCCUAACUGGGAGGGGUCGCUCUAGACUGGGCGUCUUGAGGACUGCAGAGGUGGGUGGAAUUCCUGGUGUAGUGGUGAAAUGCGUAGAGAUCAGGAGGAACGACCGGUGGCGAAGGCGGCCCACUGGGCCAGC
rnacentral:rRNA from 1 species